UACAGAGGGUGCAAGCGUUAAUCGGAAUUACUGGGCGUAAAGCGCACGCAGGCGGUUGGUUAAGUCAGAUGUGAAAGCCCCGGGCUCAACCUGGGAAUUGCAUUUGAAACUGGCCAACUAGAGUACGUGAGAGGGGGGUAGAAUUCCAAGUGUAGCGGUGAAAUGCGUAGAGAUUUGGAGGAAUACCGGUGGCGAAGGCGGCCCCCUGGCACAAUACUGACGCUGAGGUGCGAAAGCGUGGGGAGCAAACAGG
rnacentral:rRNA from 1 species